GAAGGCUGUGUUUUUCUCUGGUGCCCCCGCGUGAUGGGCGGGAGCUCAAUCGCAAACGUCGCUAGUCCUAGAAACAGGCAAGGAAAGAGGAAAAGAAUCCAUUCACUACACCAAAUUCAGGAUAAAGAUUCUGCCAGUGGAGCGCUCCCGACCACCUUUUCUUUGGUGCUGCCUGAUUCAAAUCACAGGUGGCGAUGCCAAGGCACAUUUACCUACGCUGGGUUUUCACAGCGUUUCGACAUCAACCACCCUGGUUUCUCUGCUGAGCUGGGCUCCCUACCCUCCCUAAGACAAGGAUGCAGAAGCAGACAGUGGUUGAGAGUCCGCCUGCCAAUUCAGGGGAUGCGGGUUCAUGCCCCG